AUUGAACGCUGGCGGCAGGCUUAACACAUGCAAGUCGAGCGAGCGGCGGACGGGUGAGUAAUGUCUGGGAAACUGCCUGAUGGAGGGGGAUAACUACUGGAAACGGUAGCUAAUACCGCAUACCAUCAGAUGUGCCCCGAUGGGAUUAGCUUGUAGGUGGGGUAAUGGCUGACCUAGGCGACGAUCCCUCGCUGGUCUGAGAGGUUGACCAGCAAGACUGGAACUGGUACACGGGCCAGACUCCUACGGAGGGCAGCAGUGGGGAAUAUUGCACAAUGGGCGCAAGCCUGAUGCAGCCAUGCCGCGUGUGUGAAGAAGGCCUUCGGGUUGUAAAGCACUUUCAGUGAGGAGGCGUUACUCGCAGAAGAAGCACCGGCAAACUCCGUGCCAGCAGCCGCGGUAAUAC
rnacentral:rRNA from 1 species